AGAGUUUGAUCCUGGCUCAGGAUGAACGCUGGCGGCGUGCCUAACACAUGCAAGUCGAACGGAGUUCUUAAGGAAUGCGACUUCGGUCAAAUGACUUUUGAACUUAGUGGCGGACGGGUGAGUAACGCGUGAGCAACCUGCCUUUCAGAGGGGGAUAACAUUUGGAAACAGAUGCUAAUACCGCAUAAGAUUACAGUACCGCAUGAUACAGUGAUCAAAGGAGCAAUCCGCUGAAAGAUGGGCUCGCGCCCGAUUAGAUAGUUGGUGAGGUAACGGCUCACCAAGUCGACGAUCGGUAGCCGGACUGAGAGGUUGAACGGCCACAUUGGGACUGAGACACGGCCCAGACUCCUACGGGAGGCAGCAGUGGGGAAUAUUGCACAAUGGGCGAAAGCCUGAUGCAGCAACGCCGCGUGAGGGAAGACGGUUUUCGGAUUGUAAACCUCUGUUUUCGGUGACGAACAAAUGACGGUAACCGAGUAGGAAGCCACGGCUAACUACGUGCCAGCAGCCGCGGUAAUACGUAGGUGGCAAGCGUUAUCCGGAAUUACUGGGUGUAAAGGGAGCGCAGGCGGGAUAGCAAGUCAGCUGUGAAAACUAUGGGCUCAACCCAUAAACUGCAGUUGAAACUGUUAUUCUUGAGUGGAGUAGAGGCAAGCGGAAUUCCGAGUGUAGCGGUGAAAUGCGUAGAUAUUCGGAGGAACACCAGUGGCGAAGGCGGCUUGCUGGGCUCUAACUGACGCUGAGGCUCGAAAGUGUGGGGAGCAAACAGGAUUAGAUACCCUGGUAGUCCACACUGUAAACGAUGAUUGCUAGGUGUGGGGGGUCUGACCCCCUCCGUGCCGGAG
rnacentral:rRNA from 1 species